AUCCCUUUGAGGACAUUCAAUUAAAUUUGAACGAUACAGAGAAGAUCAGCAUGAUCCCUACGCAAGGAUAACAUACACAAACCUAUGACAACACCAAAAUAUGU